AGAGUGAAGCAUGUAUGUUGAGGUAGUGCUCCCUUAAUUUCACGAGUGAGGAAAACUUCUCUGUUGGAGACUUGAAAAAUCCAAGUCACUGAGUGGUCGUGAGACUUCUGAGUAUCAAGGUGCAAUAGGUGUCCCCCAAGUCUCCGGUCGAGGGAGUUGACAAAUGAGGCAUUUCCUUUCUAAGUGGUAGCCCAAAACUUCUCCUUCAUAUAUAAUUGUUAUGAAAGUUGUUAGGCCCAAAGAAGAUGAGACCUAGGCAAUUUUUUUUUUUUUUUCAAAUUUUUGAAUUUUCGAAUUUUUGAAAAAAAAAAAUAUAUA
rnacentral:lncRNA from 1 species